UCUCACUCGCUCCUAUCCCCAGAUCAGAGCCUUGUUUCUGAGUCAGAGCUGAAAAUCAGCCUUUAGAAGUGUUAUUGCUCACCAGGGGCAUGUACUAGGAUGAUACAGCAACAUUACUUUUGAGCUCUGUGGCAUUGUGACCUCAUCUGGCUUAGAGGAAUCUCAGAAAGACUCAUUUGUGGCUUUAAGUAGUGACCAAAUUGGCUAAAAGUCCCAAAGAUAAAACAAGUUUGACAUGUUGCUUCAGGAGGAAGUUUGGAACACUUGGUGAACUUCUUGAGAAAUAAGUAAGUGGGCACCCACAAGAUACUACAAGCUAUUGGAGGUGUUCAGUAUAUCAAAUCAGAAAAUUGAGCAAAGUACUGUGGAUCACAGAGGACAGAUCAGUCAACUCUGCCUGUGAUAUUCAUAAACAAAGUCUUCAGAGAAGAGUCAUACACAUUCAGUGGAAGAAAGAUGUUUAAUCAACUGCACUCAGGAGACUCUCUUAAAGUUAACGGUCUGGUCUUGGAAGAAGGGAUAAACACCACCGUUAGAAGAAGUUGGAGGUAAGUCCUCACACUGAGGUGGAACAGUAUACACGAAUGAGAGAUCAGACGUAAGGAUGUUGAGACGAGCUAGAAGGAGGUCUUAAUGAUAGCAGCAAGAUUUAAUUUUGAAGGCGGGCUAAAAGACAGCACCAUAAAUCGAUAUGAAAAAUAACCUCAUUCUUCAUUAUACACAUGUUCUCUUGACAUGUUUUUGCUCAUACAAGUGGAGGAGAGUGUGUGCACCUAUUUUUUUUUUUUAUGUGGGCAAAGAUAUUUUGCUUUAAGAAGAUGAGAUGGGGUCUGGUUGCAGCCUACUUGUAAGUGUAGGACAUCACACGUGCCAGAGAUGAUCACCAAAAUUCAUGAUCUCUUCUUUCUGGGCACAUGGCUGGAUUCCAUGUCCUAGCUUCCAUUACAGUAACGUGUGGCCCUGUGGUUGAGUGCUAGCCCCUGGAAUGUGGGUAGAAGUGACAUACACUGAUUUCAAGCUUGACCCAUAAACUUCAGGGAGCAGUCUUCUGUGCUCUGUUUCCUCCUCUGGCUGGUUGGAAUGGAGACAGCUUCCAUGGCAUUAAUCAAAGCUACAAGGUGAAGAUAACAGAGUCUCCAAGAGCUUAGGUCCUCAAGUGACUUUGCAGAGGCUUUUCACCUCCUCGGUAUUGUUACACGACUAAAAACAUAAGCAUAAGUUGAGGUCUGUUCGUUACAGAGAUUACUCUACCCUAUUACAUCAAAUUGUCACAUUGAUUUGUUAAUUUAAUGAGUAUCUGUUGAAUAUUAAUCGUGCACCCAGCACUAUAUUGGGUGCUGGUGAUGGAGUGAAGAACAAAGUAUAUGAACUGUCUUGCUGUCACAGAGCUUACGGCCCAGGAGGUGAACACCAAUUUUAUAUGUUUCAGCUCAGUGUGCCUCGAUGUACUAUUUUAUGACAUCAAAGUAUACUUUUUAUAUUUAAAAAUC